AAGGCCAUAGGCUUUAAAAUUCCAACAUCAUUCAGUGAUUGUCCAUGGCAAUUUCUGGCCAUGGAGAGCAACGGAUAAACACCCAAGCAUCUCCAGGCUGGAGCAGAUGCUGUCAAGUCACAAUCCACAUUCCGUCGGCAUUUACCAUUUCCAUGCACAUCACUGGCAUAUCUUCGCCUAAAGACUUUCUCUGGCUGCAGGAGCCUCCUCUGCCACAGGCUGGCUGGACAUUCCAGGCAAGUAAUGUCUCCUGGGAGCAGCCCUGAACCAAAGACUGAUGGCAAUGGGUGUAUAAACAAACACCCCAGCUCCCUCCUCUCUCACACAGGAUAUCUCUGAGGCAUCUGGUCUGCCCUACUCCCAGACUUUCUCAGUGGGAUUAAGCUCCAGGUGCCUGCAUUGGUCACCCUGAUAAUACAUCUCCUACUAGCUGCUGUCCCUUUGCUACCUUGCUUCCUCAAUCCCCUUCCCUACCAGGGUUUCCUGGGCUCCCUUCCCUACUUAUACUCAAAUUCUUUUCUCGAGGGCAGCUUCUGGGUCAACCCAAAUCAAAUCAUAGCCCAAUUCAAUAAAUUAUUGUUCGAA